UGAAUACGAGACGCUAAGGCGUCGAAGUAGUGUAUGUCAUACUUCCAAGAAAAGCUUGCACUGUCAUAGAUAAAAAACGCCUGUACCAUAACCGACACAGGUGGGUAGGUAGAGUAUACUAAGGGGCGCGAGAUAACUCUCUCUAAGGAACUCGGCAAAAUAACUCCGUAACUUCGGGAGAAGGAGUGCCUUAUUCGUAAGGUUGCAAUAACAAGAUCCAAGCAACUGUUUAUCAAAAACACAGGUCUCCGCUAAGUCGUAAGACGAUGUAUGGGGGCUGACGCCUGCCCAGUGCCAGAAGGUUAAAGAAGUUGGUUAGCAAUUGCGAAGCUGAUAACUGAAGCCCUGGUGAACGGCGGCCGUAACAAUAACGGUCCUAAGGUAGCGAAAUUCCUUGUCGGGUAAGUUCCGACCCGCACGAAAGGCGUAAUGAUUUGGAUACUGUCUCGGAGAGGGGCUCGGUGAAAUAGACUUGUCUGUGAAGAUGCGGACUACCUGCACCAGGACAGAAAGACCCUAUGAAGCUUUACUGUAACUUGAAAUUGAAAUUGGACUUUAUUCGCGCAGUAUAGGUGGGAGGCGUUGAUUAUAAUCUUGUGGGAUUAUUGGAGCCAUCAGUGAGAUACCACUCUUGUAAUGUUAGAUUUCUAACUUUGAAUCAUUAUCUGGUCAAAGAACAGUUUCAGGCGGGCAGUUUGACUGGGGCGGUCGCCUCCUAAACGGUAACGGAGGCGUACAAAGGUUUCCUCUGAACGGUUAGAAAUCGUAUCUAGAGUGUAAAGGCAUAAGGAAGCUUGACUGUGAGACCUACAAGUCGAGCAGGGACGAAGGUCGGUCUUAGUGAUCUGACGGUACUGAGUGGAAAGGCCGUCACUCAACGGAUAAAAGUUACUCUAAGGAUAACAGGCUGAUCUCCCCCAAGAGUUCACAUCGACGGGGAGGUUUGGCACCUCGAUGUCGGCUCAUCGCAUCCUGGGGCGGUAGUACGUCCCAAGGGUUGGGCUGUUCGCCCAUGAAAGCGGUACGCGAGCUGGGUUCAGAACGUCGUGAGACAGUUCGGUCCAUAUCCGGUGUAGGCGUUAGAAUAUUGAGAGGAGCCUUCUUUAGUACGAGAGGACCGAGAAGGACAUACCUCUGGUGUACCAGUUAUCGUGCCAACGGUAAACGCUGGGUAGCUAUGUAUGGAGUGGAUAACCGCUGAAAGCAUCUAAGUGGGAAGCCCACCUCAAGAUAAGUAUUCUCAU
rnacentral:rRNA from 1 species